GACGAACGCUGGCGGCGUGCUUAACACAUGCAAGUCGAACGGAAAGGCCCUGCUUUUGUGGGGUGCUCGAGUGGCGAACGGGUGAGUAACACGUGAGUAACCUGCCCUUGACUUUGGGAUAACUUCAGGAAACUGGGGCUAAUACCGGAUAGGAUCUCCUGCUGCAUGGUGGGGGUUGGAAAGUUUCGGCGGUUGGGGAUGGACUCGCGGCUUAUCAGCUUGUUGGUGGGGUAGUGGCUUACCGAGGCUUUGACGGGUAGCCGGCCUGAGAGGGUGACCGGCCACAUUGGGACUGAGAUACGGCCCAGACUCCUACGGGAGGCAGCAGUGGGGAAUAUUGCACAAUGGGCGGAAGCCGGAUGCAGCAACGCCGCGUGCGGGAUGACGGCCUUCGGGGUGUAAACCGCUUUCGCCUGUGACGAAGCGUGAGUGACGGUAAUGGGUAAAGAAGCACCGGCUAACUACGUG
rnacentral:rRNA from 1 species